rnacentral:rRNA from 1 species
AAUUUUGGACAAUGGGGGGAACCCUGAUCCAGCCAUCCCGCGUGUGUGAUGAAGGCCUUCGGGUUGUAAAGCACUUUUGACAGGGAAGAAACAGCACCGGCUAAUACCCAGUGCCAAUGACGGUACCUGUAGAAUAAGCACCGGCUAACUACGUGCCAGCAGCCGCGGUAAUACGUAGGGUGCAAGCGUUAAUCGGAAUUACUGGGCGUAAAGGGUAAGGAAGCCGCUAAGAAAAGAGGAUGGGGAAUCCCAAGGCUCAAACUUGGAACUGGAUUCUUAACUGCCUAGCUAGGAGAAGUCAGGGGGGGGUAGAAUUCCACGUGUAGCAGUGAAAUGCGUAAAUAUGUGGAGGAAUACCGAUGGCGAAGGCAGCCCCCUGGGAUAAUACUUACGCUCAGGUACGAAAGCGUGGGGAGCAAACA